rnacentral:lncRNA from 1 species
CUGCCCUAUUAUUUCCCUUCAAAUAUAAUUCUAUGCCAGUUGUAAGAGGUGGGAACGCUACAGGAAAAGGCGGAGGAGGACUGGCACUUGUGCACGAAGGUCCUGUUGCUGAAAUCCCACUGGAGUAACUCGGAGGAAGUGACUUGAAACAGUGGAUGUGUUUCCCGUGCUUGUGUCAUUGGCUCUCAGAUUGACUGCCGCAGAUGAGCACCUCCUCAUUGC